rnacentral:rRNA from 1 species
UACGAAGGGGGCUAGCGUUGCUCGGAAUUACUGGGCGUAAAGCGCACGUAGGCGGUCUUUUAAGUCGGGGGUGAAAUCCUGGAGCUCAACUCCAGAACUGCCUUCGAUACUGGAAGACUUGAGUCCGGGAGAGGUGAGUGAAACUGCGAGUGUAGAGGUGAAAUUCGUAGAUAUUCGCAAGAACACCAGUGGCGAAGGCGGCUCACUGGCCCGGUACUGACGCUGAGGCACGAAAGCGUGGGGAGCAAACAGG